UAGACAAAUGAAAGUGAAUAUGAUAUAAGCAGUAUUGAAAAAAGAAGAGUUCCAUUGUCUUUUCCAGAGAAGUGAAGUGGGUAUAUAGUUUUGGAUACUUCAUUUAUGACACCCCUGGCAUAAUAAGCAAUAGCCCUUUUUUCGUGCCUUGGAUUCUUAUUAAUCCAACCAAAGUGAGACUGGGGUGGAGUAUCUGGAAUAUAUGGCAUAAAAUAUGGAGUUUCUGGAAUACAUGGCGGGUACGUCGUGGAUUAGUGCAGAUUGUUACAUGGAAUAUAAUAGGGUAAUAGGAUGAUGAGUUAGAAAGUAUUGUUGGAACUGUAUUGUAUUAUGUUUAAAAAAUGGUAUUAAUUAAUCAGAAUAUGGAAAUACAGACUCGCAUUGUUGACCUAUUCUA